CCGAGUUAGGGUUCUCUUUCGAGGCCCGACCUCCCAACCCUUUGUCUACCUUACCUUUUGUUGCUUCGGCGGGCCUGUCUCUGUUGAUUCAGGACUGUCGGGGGUGCUAACCCGCCCCUGGCUCGUGCCCGUCGAUAGCCAACCAUUAAACUCUUGAUAAAUCAUGUCGUCUGAGUAUGAAAAUAAAUUAAAAGCA
rnacentral:misc_RNA from 1 species